rnacentral:lncRNA from 1 species
UUAUAAGACCUGGGGAAAUGAUGCAUCUGUCUAUUAGUUUUUAAAUAUGCAAAGAACAAUAUUCUUAAGCUGGUUAGGUUUUUGUAUAGGUGAGAAUAGAUGCUGGCUGUGCGUGAAGCUAAACUGCUAUUGAGCACAGCACUACAGAAAACAAAGGUGGGACAGAAGUAACGCUUAAGCCAAGUUCAGUGUUAUUGUGUAAUGAUGCUUAUGGUGUCUAAAAUGCAGAUAUUGAGAGAAAUAACUAUGUUUUUCCCCUAAAUCAUUGAACGGGACUGUUAUUCUUAACACAGCUUCCCAUACUUGGAUGGAACUGUUUUUUCUUCAAAGAGCAAACAGAAUGCUGCAUCUAAGGAGUAAGAAGAUCAGUGUCUUGUCUCACUCUUCUGGUGUGCAAAUGAAGCUUGUCCAAUAUGUGUUACCCCAGAAAGAAUUAAGAUAAUUGAAGUCAGAGUAUCUGAACUUGGAUCACUUGCAAGAGGGGAAUUUCAUGACGGGGAGAAGACUGAGAAUGUGUGUAACCUUUCUGCUCUGAGACUGGGAGUACUGAAGAAUGAAUAUGUGAGACAGACAGGAACAGGAAGAGCCGAAAGCCUGAGGGACCUUUGACCAUUCAGAGAGCAUUCAGUAGGUUU